CAGUUCGGAUUGUAGUCUGCAACUCGACUACAUGAAGCUGGAAUCGCUAGUAAUCGCGGAUCAGAAUGCCGCGGUGAAUACGUUCCCGGGUCUUGUACACACCGCCCGUCACACCAUGGGAGUCGGAAAUGCCCGAAGUCUGUGACCCAACCGGAAGGAAGGAGCAGCCGAAGGCAGGUCUGAUGACUGGGGUGAAGUCGUAACAAGGUACC
rnacentral:rRNA from 1 species